GCCUAAACACAUGCAAAGUGGAGCGACGAACCAGGCUUCGGCCUGGGGGCAAAAGCCGCGAAACGGGGGUGAGUAAACACGUGGGGUAACCCUGCCCCUGAUGAUUGGGACAACCCCCGAGGAAACUCGGGGCUAAUACCCGAAUGUGCCCUUCGGCCACAAGGCCGUCGGGGAAAGGAAGCUUCGGCCUCCGCAUCGGGAUGGGCCCGCGGCCCAUUAGCUUGUUGGUGAGGUAACGGCUCACCAAGGCUACGAUGGGUAGCUGGUCUGAGAGGACGAUCAGCCACACUGGGACUGAGACACGGCCCAGACUCCUACGGGAGGCAGCAGUGGGGAAUCUUGCGCAAUGCGCGAAAGCGUGACGCAGCAACGCCGCGUGGGGGAAGAAGGCCUUCGGGUUGUAAACCCCUUUCAGUUGGGACGAAGCUUCGCCGGUGAACAGCCGGUCGAAGUGACGGUACCUUCAGAAGAAGCCCCGGCUAACUACGUGC
rnacentral:rRNA from 1 species